GUUCAUUUCCCAUAUUACCUUUUUCUGUCACAUUUGCAAUUUUAUCAAUCCUUAUUUUAUUAAUUCAAAAUUGUCCCCUCUGGUUAAUAAUUUGAGCUAGCCACCUUCAUUCUACCUUAUUACCAAUCUCCCUAUUUACUAUAUAUCACAAAUAUAUAUAUGUGUGUGUGUGUGCAUGUGUCUGUUUA